rnacentral:rRNA from 1 species
ACGGGUGAGUAACGCGUGGGAAUCUACCGUACCCUACGGAAUAGCUCUGGGAAACUGGAAGUAAUACCGUAUACGCCCUAACGGGGAAAGAUUUAUCGGGGUAUGAUGAGCCCGCGUUGGAUUAGCUAGUUGGUGGGGUAAAGGCCUACCAAGGCGACGAUCCAUAGCUGGUCUGAGAGGAUGAUCAGCCACAUUGGGACUGAGACACGGCCCAAACUCCUACGGGAGGCAGCAGUGGGGAGUAUUGGACAAUGGGGGCAACCCUGAUCCAGCCAUGCCGCGUGAGUGAUGAAGGUCUUAGGAUUGUAAAGCUCUUUCAACGGUGAAGAUAAUGACGGUAACCGUAGAAGAAGCCCCGGCUAACUUCGUGCCAGCAGCCGCGGUAAUACGAAGGGGGCUAGCGUUGUUCGGAAUUACUGGGCGUAAAGCGCACGUAGGCGGGUAUUUAAGUCAGGGGUGAAAUCCCGCAGCUCAACUGCGGAACUGCCUUUGAUACUGGGUAUCUUGAGUAUGGAAGAGGUAAGUGGAAUUGCGAGUGUAGAGGUGAAAUUCGUAGA